UACGAAGGGGGCUAGCGUUGUUCGGAAUUACUGGGCGUAAAGCGCGCGCAGGCGGUCUUCCAAGUCAGUGGUGAAAGCCCGGAGCUCAACUCCGGAACUGCCAUUGAAACUGUAAGACUUGAGGAUGAGAGAGGUGAGUGGAAUUCCCAGUGUAGAGGUGAAAUUCGUAGAUAUUGGGAGGAACACCAGUGGCGAAGGCGGCGAUCUGGGAAGAUACUGACGCUGAGGUGCGAAAGCGUGGGGAGCAAACAGG
rnacentral:rRNA from 1 species